rnacentral:sRNA from 1 species
GCCGGGCGUGGUGGCUCGUGCUUGUAAUCCCAGCUACUCGGGAGGCUGAGGCAGAAGAAUCGCUUGAACCCAGGAGGCAGAGGUUGCAGUGAGCCAAGAUGGUGCCACUGCACUCCAGCCUGGGUGACAGAGUGAGACUCUGUCUCAA